rnacentral:rRNA from 1 species
UACGUAGGGGCCGAGCGUUGUCCGGAUUUAUUGGGCGUAAAGAGCGUGUAGGCGGUCAGGUAGGUCGGUUGUGAAAACUGGAGGCUCAACCUUCAGAGGUCGACCGAAACCCCCUGGCUAGAGUCCGGGAGAGGAGAGUGGAAUUCCUGGUGUAGCGGUGAAAUGCGCAGAUAUCAGGAAGAACACCCGUGGCGAAAGCGGCUCUCUGGAACGGUACUGACGCUGAGACGCGAAAGCGUGGGGAGCGAACAGG